rnacentral:rRNA from 1 species
GCCGUUCUCAGUUCGGAUCGGAGUCUGCAACCCGACUCCGUGAAGCUGGAUUCGCUAGUAAUCGCGCAUCAGCCAUGGCGCGGUGAAUACGUUCCCGGGUCUUGUACACACCGCCCGUCACACCAUGGGAGUCGGAAAUGCCCGAAGCCGGUGACCCAACCCGAAAGGGAGGGAGCCGUCGAAGGCAGGUCGGAUGACUGGGGUGAAGUCGUAACAAGGUAGC